rnacentral:rRNA from 1 species
GACGUAGGGGGCGAGCGUUGUCCGGAUUUACUGGGCGUAAAGCGCGCGUAGGCGGCCCGUUAAGUCCGCUGUAAAAGUCAACGGCUCAACUGUUGAAAGCCGGUGGAUACUGUCGGGCUAGAGUACGGAAGAGGCAAGUGGAAUUCCUGGUGUAGCGGUGGAAUGCGCAGAUAUCAGGAAGAACACCCGUGGCUAAGGCGGUUCUCUAGUACGGUACUGACGCUGAGACGCGAAAGCGUGGGGAGCGAACAGG